GACGAACGCUGGCGGCGUGCUUAACACAUGCAAGUCGAACGAAAAGAGGGAAAGAGCUUGCUCUUUCCGGAAUUGAGUGGCAAACGGGUGAGUAACACGUAAACAACCUGCCUUCAGGAUGGGGACAACAGACGGAAACGACUGCUAAUACCGAAUAAGUUCCAAGGGCCGCAUGGCCCAUGGAAGAAAAGGUGGCCUCUACCUGUAAGCUAUCGCCUGAAGAGGGGUUUGCGUCUGAUUGGCUGGUUGGAGGGGUAACGGCCCACCAAGGCGACGAUCAGUAGCCGGUCUGAGAGGAUGAACGGCCACACUGGAACUGAGACACGGUCCAGACUCCUACGGGAGGCAGCAGUGGGGAAUCUUCCGCAAUGGGCGAAAGCCUGACGGAGCAACGCCGCGUGAGUGAUGACGGCCUUCGGGUUGUAAAACUCUGUGAUCCGGGACGAAAAGGCAGAGUGCGAAGAACAAACUGCAUUGACGGUACCGGAAAAGCAAGCCACGGCUAACUACGUGCCAGCAGCCGCGGUAAUACGUAGGUGGCAAGCGUUGUCCGGAAUUAUUGGGCGUAAAGCGCGCGCAGGCGGCUUCCCAAGUCCCUCUUAAAAGUGCGGGGCUUAACCCCGUGAUGGGAAGGAAACUGGGAAGCUGGAGUAUCGGAGAGGAAAGUGGAAUUCCUAGUGUAGCGGUGAAAUGCGUAGAGAUUAGGAAGAACACCGGUGGCGAAGGCGACUUUCUGGACGAAAACUGACGCUGAGGCGCGAAAGCGUGGGGAGCAAACAGG
rnacentral:rRNA from 1 species